UAUUAUCGUUGGUUGCGUUUUGUGUCGGAGGAGGAAUUCUCACAGAAGCACGAUAAGCAGCGACGGUUCCGGAAGUUCAAAAUCGCGCCAGGGAGGACUCGAAGCCAUGGCACUGAAAGACAUUACGAACAACGGCUCAAAUCAGCAGCCAAUAGGAAUUUCAGGAGAUGACGUCAGCCGUCCCGUAUCAUCCGUGGUACCCAUUACAGGAAUGGCAGGCACCCGAGAAGAAACACAUUGUUACGCCACACCGUAUGACACCAUUCCCGAGAUGUCAGUGGGAGAUCAAACACCAAUAUCCAUCGUUCGGACAUUAAAUCGUCCGACAGUUCGAGACAAGAAAGGAGACAACUUGUACAUCACCAGCUCUUCCAAGAUCGACCGUAUGAGGCCUUGAAGGCUGACGUUCAACCACCGUUUCCCUUAUAUGGGGUGGAAGACGUCUGAUCAAACGCCAAAAUGUUCUUUCUAACGCACUUCAAAUAAAAAAUAAAAAUUUUAAAAAUAUAGAUUAAG
rnacentral:lncRNA from 1 species